CAGAAGAUCCAGAAGGUUCUGAGUCCAGGUUACCCAGAAUGCUUAAAGAGUGAGAGGAGGAUGAGGAGGUGUUGAACUGUGAGGAUGAAGAGCAGAGAGGAGCAGCAGAGAGGCAUUUCUGAAGAUCACACUGCACUUCCUAAGGAGAAUGAAGCAGGAGGAGCUGGCUGACCGUCUGCAGAGCAGAAGUCAUUGUGGAGUUUGUAAGCGUAAACUCAAAUCUAACCAGCAGAAGACGUUCCAGUGUGUGUUUGAGGGGAUUGCUAAAGCAGGAAACCCAACCCUUCUGAAUCAGAUGUUCACAGAUCUACAUCAUGGAGGGAGGG